CAGUAGCCGCGGUAAUACGGAGGGUGCAAGCGUUAAUCGGAAUUACUGGGCGUAAAGCGCACGCAGGCGGUCUGACAAGUCAGAUGUGAAAUCCCCGGGCUUAACCUGGGAACUGCAUUUGAAACUGUCAGGCUGGAGUCUUGUAGAGGGGGGUAGAAUUCCAGGUGUAGCGGUGAAAUGCGUAGAGAUCUGGAGGAAUACCGGUGGCGAAGGCGGCCCCCUGGACAAAGACUGACGCUCAGGUGCGAAAGCGUGGGGAGCAAACAGGAUUAGAUACCCUUGUAGUCCCUGUCUCUUAUAC
rnacentral:rRNA from 1 species